AAACUGCGAUAAGUAGUGUGAAUUGCAUUUAGUGAAUCAUCGAAUCUUUGAACGCACCUUGCACUCACUGGUAUUCCGGUGAGUACGCCUGUUUCAGUAUCAUUGAAAACACACAAUCAAAACUUUUUUUUGGUUUAUGAUUGGCCUUGGGCUUAUUACAGUUUGGUUCAUUCAUUUGGAUCAAGCGGCCUGGAAUAGAUUGUCUGGCUAAUUGCAUCGUUGAUGAUCGCUAUUAGACUUUGGCUUUUUUAAAUGAACUGGAGGUUGAUUAACCAGUUUUAGCUUUAGUCGAAUGGUCAUUGUAAAUCGAUCUUGGUCCAGCGGUUGAGGAUAACCGGAAAACAAAACCAUAACAAUCACUUUUUUCGUAUCGAUCUGAAAUCAGGUGGGACUACCCGCU
rnacentral:misc_RNA from 1 species